UACGGGGGGAGCAAGCGUUGUUCGGAUUUACUGGGCGUAAAGGGCGCGUAGGCGGCGCAACAAGUCACUUGUGAAAUCUCCGGGCUUAACCCGGAGCGGUCAAGUGAUACUGUCGUGCUAGAGUGCGGAAGGGGCUACUGGAAUUCUCGGUGUAGCGGUGAAAUGCGUAGAUAGUCGAGAGGAACACCUGCGGCGAAGGCGGGUAGCUGGGCCGACACUGACGCUGAUGCGGCGAAAGCCAGGGGAGCGAACGGG
rnacentral:rRNA from 1 species